UGGGGAAUAUUGCACAAUGGGCGCAAGCCUGAUGCAGCCAUGCCGCGUGUAUGAAGAAGGCCUUCGGGUUGUAAAGUACUUUCAGCGGGGAGGAAGGUGUUGUGGUUAAUAACCACAGCAAUUGACGUUACCCGCAGAAGAAGCACCGGCUAACUCCGUGCCAGCAGCCGCGGUAAUACGGAGGGUGCAAGCGUUACUCGGAAUUACUGGGCGUAAAGCGCACGCAGGCGGUCUGUCAAGUCGGAUGUGAAAUCCCCGGGCUCAACCUGGGAACUGCAUCCGAAACUGGCAGGCUUGAGUCUUGUAGAGGGGGGUAGAAUUCCAGGUGUAGCGGUGAAAUGCGUAGAGAUCUGGAGGAAUACCGGUGGCGAAGGCGGCCCCCUGGACAAAGACUGACGCUCAGGUGCGAAAGCGUGGGGAGCAAACA
rnacentral:rRNA from 1 species